rnacentral:rRNA from 1 species
AACGAACGCUGGCGGCAUGCCUAACACAUGCAAGUCGAACGAGACCUUCGGGUCUAGUGGCGCACGGGUGCGUAACGCGUGGGAACCUGCCCUUAGGUUCGGAAUAACUCCCCGAAAGGGGUGCUAAUACCGGAUAAUGUCCUCGGACCAAAGAUUUAUCGCCUUUGGAUGGGCCCGCGUUGGAUUAGCUAGUUGGUAGGGUAAAAGCCUACCAAGGCGACGAUCCAUAGCUGGUCUGAGAGGAUGAUCAGCCACACUGGGACUGAGACACGGCCCAGACUCCUACGGGAGGCAGCAGUGGGGAAUAUUGGACCAUGGGCGAAAGCCUGAUCCAGCAAUGCCGCGGUAGUGAUGAAGGCCUUAGGGUUGUAAAGCUCUUUUACCCGGGAUGAUAAUGACAGUACCGGGAGAAUAAGCUCCGGCUAACUCCGUG